GACGAACGCUGGCGGCGUGCCUAACACAUGCAAGUAGAACGGUAAGGACCUGCUUUUGUGGGGUGCUCGAGUGGCGAAAGGGUGAGUAACACGUGAGUAUCCUGUCCUUGAUUUCGGGGUAACAUCAGGAAACAGGGUCUAUAAUCGCACAGGACCACCGACGGCACGGUGGGUGUUUGUAAGUUGCGGCGGUUGUGGACGAACUCGCGGCUCAUCGGCUUGUUGGUGGGGUGGUGGCUUACCAACGCAUCGACGGGUAGCCGGACUGAGAGGGUGACCGGCCACAUUGGGACUGAGGUACGGGCCAGACUCCUACGGGAGGAAGCAGUGGGGAAUAUUGCACAAUGGGCGGAAGCCUGAUGCAGCAACGCCGCGUGCGGGAUGACGGCCUUCGGGUUGUAACCCGCUUUCGCCUGUGACGAAGCGUGAGUGACGGUAAUGGGUAAAGAAGCACCGGCUAACUACGUG
rnacentral:rRNA from 1 species